rnacentral:misc_RNA from 1 species
CGUAGGUGAACCUGCGGAAGGAUCAUUAAUGAGUUGUCAUGGGGUUCGAUGCUGGCAGCCAGUUUUUGGAUGCAUGUGCUGCCCUAACAAUCAUCUUCUUCCAAACACCUGUGCACAUUUUUGAGGGAGUCUUGAGUUGGUUGCCGCUCUUGGGUGAUUUUCUCACAUUCCCUUAAAUCAUUAUACGCUAUUAACAAUGUUGAACGUGCUCUGUGCCGCAAGGCCAUUAAUAUAAUACAACUUUUAACAACGGAUCUCUUGGCUCUC